UCAGAUACAAAAGAGGCCUUUCUGAGAAGAAGAUAGCUGAGGAAGCAAGGAAGGCAAAGAAAGCCAGAAUUGGAGAAACCUCUGGCACCAAAGCUUCAGCACCUCUGAAUGUCUCCUCUGGUAAGUCCAUUCCUCCUGUCUCUUCUGAAUCUGUAAUGGCUUCCUCUAACCCUCUCUCCUCUCAACCAAUUUUUACAACCUCAGAAAUACCACCUUCUACCAUUAGAACCUCUCAACCUCCACCUGUUCUAAAAAUUGCCCGUACUUUUACAACAACCUCUGACCCUAAUCAACUAUAUCACCACAGUUCUUCAUCAUCCUCUGAUUAUGAAUCACCCCCUUACCUUUCCCCUUCUUCUGACCAAGAGUUCUCUGAUCAUGAGUCCUCUGAUCAAGAACACUCUGACCCAAACUCCC
rnacentral:lncRNA from 1 species